AGAGCUCGCUGCUGAACUUUGGUCCCCAGAAGGUGGGAGCUUCCCUCCUUGGAAGGAGCCCUUCCAAAAGCUGCCUCUGAGUUGCUAAGAAACAGCUUGUCACCGUGGCACGGGCUGUAGGCAGUUCUGUACAGAUGCAGAAUGGAAGCCCUUUGGCCAGAGAAGCAGUGGCACAAAUUCUCUAUGAAAUCACAUGGAGAUGCUGUUGUGGCCAGAGAGCUCCUGGAGGAGAUGCCAAAGCAGUUGGUGAAAGUGUGGGAUAAUUUUUCAGAAGUUAAACCCCAGAUGGGAGCAGAGAAGGGUUCAAGCUGUGGUCUUGAGAAUGAGGUUGACUCCGUGCAUAAAGCAGGGGCUCACGGGGAGGAGCGGGGAGGCGUCUGCAUCUCUUCAGAUGAAAAGCAAUGUUCUGGAAGCUGAAGGUAAUCUCUUCCCAGGCGUUUGUAACCGAGCUUCACAGCUGCCAGCCUGCAUCUGAUCACUUGCAGCAGCCCUGGCCGGGGAGGCUGCAGGG